rnacentral:snoRNA from 1 species
ACUGCCCAUAGAGGCAUAGCAGGUAUGACUAUUCUGUCACGUGUGUGUCUGCAGGUGGCAGAGAGGAGAGAGGCUACACCUUUGCUCAGUGUUCUGACCCGUGAACACGAGUGUAACCUGACACG